rnacentral:rRNA from 1 species
AUUGAACGCUGGCGGCAUGCCUUACACAUGCAAGUCGAACGGAAACAGGUGUUCGGUUGCUGACGAGUGGCGAACGGGUGCGUAAUACAUCGGAACGUGCCCGAUCGUGGGGGAUAACGGAGCGAAAGGUUUGCUAAUACCGCAUACGAUCUACGGAUUAAAGCCGCGGAUUUUCGGACUUCGAGAGGACGGUGCGGCCGAUGGCAGAUUAGGUAGUUGGUGGGAUAACAGCUUACCAAGGCGACGAUUUGUAGCUGGACUGAGAGGAUGAUCAGCCACACUGGGACUGAGACACGGCCCAGACUCCUACGGGAGGCAGCAGUGGGGAAUUUUCGACAAUGGGCGCAAGCCUGAUGCAGCAAUGCCGCGUGCAGGAUGAAGGCCUUCGGGUUGUAAACUGCUUUUGUACGGAACGAAAAGGUGCCUUCGAAUAGAGGGCGCUCAUGACGGUACCGUAAGAGUAAGCACCGGCUAACUACGUG